rnacentral:rRNA from 1 species
UACGUAGGGACCAAGCGUUGUUCGGAUUUACUGGGCGUAAAGGGCGCGUAGGCGGCGUGUUAAGUCAGCUGUGAAAUCUCCAAGCUUAACUUGGAACGGUCAGCUGAUACUGAUGUGCUAGAGUGCAGAAGGGGCAAACGGAAUUCUUGGUGUAGCGGUGAAAUGCGUAGAUAUCAAGAGGAACACCUGAGGUGAAGACGGGUUGCUGGGCUGACACUGACGCUGAGGCGCGAAAGCUAGGGUAGCAAACGGG